ACUGCUCAGUAACACGUAGCUAACCUAACCUCAAGUAGAGGAUAAUCCUGAGAAAUUGGGGCUAAUACUCUAUAGCUGUUAAGUGCUGGAAUGCUUUAACAGCAAAAGCUUUUGCGCUUAAGGAUGGGGCUGCGGCCUAUCAUGGCAGUUGUGAGUGUAAAAUACUCACAAACCUAUAACGGGUAGGGGCCAUGAGAGUGGAAGCCUCGAGAUGCAUUCUGAGACAUGAAUGCAGGUCCUACGGGACGCAGCAGGUACGAAAACUUUCCAAUGCCUUGACGGGUGAGAAGGGAACCCUGAGUGGUUAUACAUUGUAUAACCUUUUGUCUUGUCUAAAAAGCAAGGCGAAUAAGUGGUGGGUAAGACGGGUGGCAGCCGCCGCGGUAAUACCCGCGCCACGAAUGGUGAUCGCGAUUAUUGGGUCUAAAGCGUCCGUAGCCGGUUUAGUAAGUUCUUGGUGAAAUCUGCUAGCUAACUAGCAAGCUUGCUGAGAAUACUGCUGAACUUGGGAUCGGGAGAGGAUAGAGGUAUUCCAUGAGUAGGGGUUAAAUCCUUUAAUCCAUGGAGGACCACCGGUGGCGAAGGCGUCUAUCUAGAACGAAUCCGACGGUGAGGGACGAAAGCUAGGGGAGCAAACGGGAUUAGAUACAAACUUUCUAAUCCUAUGAUUUUUAAGAUGAUUGGAAGUUUGCUAGAAACCCCGGUAGUCCUAGCUGUAAACGAUGCCCGCUUGAUGUUGCAAGCUCUACGGGAGCUUGCAGUGUUGUAGUGUGGAUGUUAAGCGGGCCACCUGGGGAGUACGGUCGCAAGGCUGAAACUUAAAGGAAUUGGCGGGGGAGCAC
rnacentral:rRNA from 1 species